ACACACUGAGCUCGUGCUUGGACGACCUCUCUCGCUCUCUUCUGAAGGUGGCGUCGUGACGUCGUCGUUUAGGUCUUCGGAUUCGGCUGCCGUGAUCUGCUUUCUGGUUCGCUCCGGGAUAUGGAUUUCAAUCUAGUUGGGAACUUACAGCUGUCUAACAAAGAAGUGAGAGAAAGGGAACCUAUCGGAGUAAGUGAGCAGGGAAAAUUCUUAAAGAUGUCAGUGUACAAGUGAGUCCUUCCAGCUCAACUGAGAAGACAAGACUACCUAGUAUUCAGAGUAUAAAUCCUAAGCUCAGUCUCCCAAGUGUGCAGCUACUGAGUAACUCAAAGAAAACCAUCUCUACCCGGAAAGUUUCCAACUGUAGACUUCGUAGACCUUUCAUGGUGAAUGUCAUGGAACUUGAAAUUCCUUCAGCAAAGGAAACUGAUGGAAAUGCUGAAAAGGCUGAAGCAUAUACCAAGGCGUUUAAAGGACAAUUCCUUUAGCGGCAAAGGUACCACAAUAGUAGCUCUUAUUGGACGUGAUGCAAUCUAUAUUGGCUCAGACAGUCUUGUUGUUUCUGGGCACCAGGAUGACCUCGAUCAGCCUAGCUGCUACCAGCCCCACAUGCCAUGACUCUUCCCAACUCUGUCGCCAUUUGGUUGCGGAAUCCAACAAAUAUUAUAACAGCCUGCUGCCCUUCCCAGCUAUAGAGCCCAAUAGUUGAAGGGAAAUGUUCAUCCUUAUUUUCCUGUUGCUUCUUUCUCUUCCACUCAUCAAUAUACCUCUCACAUGCUGCUUUCACAGUGUAUAUAUUAUCCUCAAUCUCCACUUCAUUUUGUACCGUCCAUAACAAAUCCUGACAUAUAGCAGCAUUACCAGCUG